rnacentral:rRNA from 1 species
ACACGCAUGACACACUGCAUAUCAAUAAGCGGAGGAAAAGAAACUAACAAGGAUUCCCUUAGUAACGGCGAGUGAAGCGGGAAGAGCUCAAAUUUGAAAUCUUCAAGGUUCUACCUUGACGAAUUGUAGUUUAUAGAAGUGUUUUCUGUUAGUGGAGUGGCAAAAGUUCUUUGGAAUAGGACAUCAUAGAGGGUGAGAAUCCCGUAUUUGGUCCAUUAUUUCCUAGCUUUGUGAUACACUUUCAAAGAGUCGGAUUGUUUGGGAAUGCAGUCCAAAAUGGGUGGUAAAUUUCAUCUAAAGCUAAAUACUGGCGAGAGACCGAUAGCGAACAAGUACCGUGAGGGAAAGAUGAAAAGAACUUUGAAAAGAGAGUUAAACAGUACGUGAAAUUGUCAAAAGGGAAGCGUUUGACACCAGUGUUGUUUUCUCGAAAAUCAAUUAAAAAUGGUGGGAUGUUGUGUUGUAUUGACUUUAUCAGCUUUCUGCACUUUUUUUCCUAUCUUUUUUAAUGCACUUUUCGUUUAACAAGUCAACAUCAAUUUCUUUUGUUGUAAAAGAGUCAUUGGAAGGUGGCUUUCUUUUCGGAGAAAGUGUUUAUAGCCUUUGUACUUCUGCAAUCGGAGAGAUUGAGGUCUGCAGCGUAGAUCCUUCGGGGUUAGAUACAUUUGUGCUAAGUUAUAGCCUUUCAUAGACAACUUGUUGACUAUGAUCAGUCAUGUAGCUUACUCGCUUAUGCUAUUUUACCUACGCUUAGGAUGUUGAAGAUGUAGCACAUCAU